UGGGGAAUAUUGGACAAUGGGCGCAAGCCUGACCCAGCCAUGCCGCGUGAGUGAUGAAGGCCCUAGGGUUGUAAAGCUCUUUCACCGGUGAAGAUAAUGACGGUAACCGGAGAAGAAGCCCCGGCUAACUUCGCGCCAGCAGCCGCGGUAAUACGAAGGGGGCGAGCGUUGUUCGGAUUUAAUGGGCGUAAAGCGCACGUAGGCGGACUUUUACGUCAGGGGUGAAAUCCCGGGGCUCAACCCCGGAACUGCCUUUGAUACUGGAAGUCUUGAGUAUGGUAGAGGUGAGUGGAAUUCCGGGUGUAGGGGUGAAAUUCGUCGAUAUUCGGAGAAACACCAGUGGCGAAGGCGGCUCACAGGACCAUUACUAUCGCAGAGGUGCGAAAGCGUGGGGAGCAAACAG
rnacentral:rRNA from 1 species